GCAUUGUUCGUAUACCACCUCAGCCUCUCCUCUGGACUACUGAGAAUUUAAAUUUCAGAGACAAAAAGAAUCUCUCAGUUCUGGAUCAUAGCAUUUACUUCUGAGGUAUGGCCAUUUUUGAGUUUCAAUGGAAGACUCUGAAGCUUCAAAUACCAAGGCUCUUUACGUUGUUGGGACUCAAUUUGUUCUCCUCUAUGUUUCCAGAUGAGCACACCUUUCAGUCCAUUUGCUGCCAACACCACCUACAGGGAUCCCACAGUAGCCAUUUUCAUUGGGCUAAACAGCACAAAGAGGCUAUUGUCGAAGAGCAGAUGCAGGAAAAGAUUUUGCCAAAUGGCAUAUUCUAAGGUGAGCAGGUUUUCACAAACGAAGCGUUAAUCACAAUCAUCUGACACUACCAAUUAUGGAAGAAAACCAAGAAUAAACCUGCAAAUGAGAAGAGCCCUUUCUUCCCUUCUCAAAUUAAGAAGGCGAGCAUAUUGGAAAUGCAAAAGGAAAACAGAUUUGCUGAAAGAUAGACAUCUUAAGCAGAAAAAGCUUCACUUUUUUAAAAGUAAUAAGAACAAACAUUUUCUUCUUCUUUUUUUUUUUAACUGGAUGAAUUGUCAGCAGAAAUGCCUUUGAAGGUAUAAUUGCUUUGUUACCUUAUAUAUAUUUAUUUUAUGGCAUUAUGUAGAACCUUGCUACCUAAAGUCCAGUUCUAUGAACUAGUAACAUCAGAAUUACCUGACAGCUUGUUAAAAAUGCAG
rnacentral:lncRNA from 10 species